rnacentral:rRNA from 1 species
GACGAACGCUGGCGGCGUGCUUAACACAUGCAAGUCGAACGGAACUCUUUGGAUCAAGGCUUCGGCCAAGUGAAUUUGAGUUUAGUGGCGGACGGGUGAGUAACGCGUGAGGAACCUGCCUUUCAGAGGGGGACAACAGUUGGAAACGACUGCUAAUACCGCAUAACGCGUAGAGAUCGCAUGGUCUUUACGCCAAAGAUUUAUCGCUGAGAGAUGGCCUCGCGUCUGAUUAGCUAGUUGGUGAGGUAACGGCCCACCAAGGCGACGAUCAGUAGCCGGACUGAGAGGUUGACCGGCCACAUUGGGACUGAGAUACGGCCCAGACUCCUACGGGAGGCAGCAGUGGGGAAUAUUGGGCAAUGGGCGCAAGCCUGACCCAGCAACGCCGCGUGAAGGAAGAAGGCUUUCGGGUUGUAAACUUCUUUUGUCAGGGACGAACACAAUGACGGUACCUGACGAAUAAGCCACGGCUAACUACGUG